rnacentral:rRNA from 1 species
UACGGAGGGGGCAAGCGUUGUCCGGAAUCAUUGGGCGUAAAGAGCGUGUAGGCGGCCAGAUAAGUCCGCUGUGAAAUCUCGAGGCUCAACUUCGAGCUGUCGGUGGAAACUGUCUGGCUAGAGUCCGGAAGAGGAGAAUGGAAUUCCUGAUGUAGCGGUGAAAUGCGCAGAUAUCAGGAAGAACACCCGUGGCGAAGGCGGUUCUCUGGGACGGUACUGACGCUGAGACGCGAAAGCGUGGGGAGCGAACAGG